ACGGAAGGCAGCAGUGGGGAAUAUUGCACAAUGGGGGAAACCCUGAUGCAGCGACGCCGCGUGAGUGAAGAAGUAUUUCGGUAUGUAAAGCUCUAUCAGCAGGGAAGAAAAUGACGGUACCUGACUAAGAAGCCCCGGCUAACUACGUGCCAGCAGCCGCGGUAAUACGUAGGGGGCAAGCGUUAUCCGGAUUUACUGGGUGUAAAGGGAGCGUAGACGGUCAUGCAAGUCUGAUGUGAAAGGUGGGGGCUCAACCCCCAAACUGCAUUGGAAACUGUAAGACUCGAGUGCCGGAGAGGUAAGCGGAAUUCCUAGUGUAGCGGUGAAAUGCGUAGAUAUUAGGAGGAACACCAGUGGCGAAGGCGGCUUGCUGGACGACAACUGACGCUGAGGCGCGAAAGCGUGGGGAGCAAACAGGAUUAGAUACCCUGGUA
rnacentral:rRNA from 1 species